AAGAAGGUUUUCGGAUUGUAAACUCCUGUCGUUAGGGACGAAUCUUGACGGUACCUAACAAGAAAGCACCGGCUAACUACGUGCCAGCAGCCGCGGUAAAACGUAGGGUGCAAGCGUUGUCCGGAAUUACUGGGUGUAAAGGGAGCGCAGGCGGACCGGCAAGUUGGAAGUGAAAUCUAUGGGCUCAACCCAUAAAUUGCUUUCAAAACUGCUGGCCUUGAGUAGUGCAGAGGUAGGUGGAAUUCCCGGUGUAGCGGUGGAAUGCGUAGAUAUCGGGAGGAACACCAGUGGCGAAGGCGACCUACUGGGCACCAACUGACGCUGAGGCUCGAAAGCAUGGGUAGCAAACAGGAUUAGAUACCCUGGUAGUCCAUGCCGUAAACGAUGAUUACUAGGUGUUGGAGGAUUGACCCCUUCAGUGCCGCAGUUAACACAAUAAGUAAUCCACCUGGGGAGUACGACCGCAAGGUUGAAACUCAAAGGAAUUGACGGGGGCCCGCACAAGCAGUGGAGUAUGUGGUUUAAUUCGAAGCAACGCGAAGAACCUUACCAGGUCUUGACAUCCGAUGCAUAGUGCAGAGAUGCAUGAAGUCCUUCGGGACAUCGAGACAGGUGGUGCAUGGUUGUCGUCAGCUCGUGUCGUGAGAUGUUGGGUUAAGUCCCGCAACGAGCGCAACCCUUAUUGCCAGUUACUACGCAAGAGGACUCUGGCGAGACUGCCGUUGACAAAACGGAGGAAGGUGGGGAUGACGUCAAAUCAUCAUGCCCUUUAUGACCUGGGCUACACACGUACUACAAUGGCGUUUAACAAAGAGAUGCAAGACCGCGAGGUGGAGCAAAACUCAAAAACAACGUCUCAGUUCAGAUUGCAGGCUGCAACUCGCCUGCAUGAAGUCGGAAUUGCUAGUAAUCGCGGAUCAGCAUGCCGCGGUGAAUACGUUCCCGGGCCUUGUACACACCGCCCGUCACACCAUGAGAGCCGGGGGGACCCGAAGUCGGUAGUCUAACCGCAAGGAGGACGCCGCCGAAGGUAAAACUGGUGAUUGGGGUGAAGUCGUAACAAGGUAGCCGUAUCGGAAGGUGCGGCUGGAUCACCU
rnacentral:rRNA from 1 species